UUCUUAUUAGCUUAAUGGUAGAGCAUAAUACUUCUAAUAUUAUAAUCCAAGUUCGAGUCUUGGAUAAGAAU
rnacentral:tRNA from 1 species